rnacentral:sRNA from 1 species
UGAACCUGCGGAAGGAUCAUUAACCAUUGGAUACCUUCGGGUAUAUCCCAUCCGUGUCUACAUACUCUUGUUGCUUUGGCAGGCCGUGGUCUCCCACUGUGGGCUCUGCCUGCAUGUGCCUGCCAGAGGACCAAACUCUGAAUUUUAGUGAUGUCUGAGUACUAUAUAAUAGUUAAAACUUUCAACAACGGAUCUCUUGGUUCUGGCAUCGAUGAAGAACGCAGCGAAAUGCGAUAAGUAAUGUGAAUUGCAGAAUUCAGUGAAUCAUCGAAUCUUUGAACGCACAUUGCACCCGGUGGUAUUCCGCCGGGUAUGCCUGUUCGAGCGUCAUUAUAACCACUCAAGCCUGUCUUGGUGUUGGGGUUGCGAAUCUUUGCAGCCCUUGAGUCCCGUAGCGCCACCUGUGGGUCCUAAGCGUAGUAAUUUCUCCUCGCUAUAGAGCCCGCUCGGGGAUAGGUAUAAUUCGUAGCCUAGUUCUAUGUGUCCCGCUAUAAAACCCCCAAUUUUUUAAGGUUGACCUCGGAUCAAGUAGGGAUACCCGCUGAACUUAAGCAUAUCAAUAAGCGGAGGAAAAGAAACCAACAGGGAUUACCUUAGUAACGGCGAGUGAAGCGGUAAAUGCUCAAAUUUGAAAGCUGCCAACAGGCCGCGUUGUAAUUUGUAGAAGAUGCUUUGGGUGUCGGCCCAGUCUAAGUUCCUUGGAACAGGACGUCAUAGAGGGUGAGAAUCCCGUAUGUGAUUGGUGCCGUCCCCCGUGUAAAGCUCUUUCGACGAGUCGAGUUGUUUGGGAAUGCAGCUCAAAAUGGGUGGUAAAUUUCAUCUAAAGCUAAAUAUUGGCCAGAGACCGAUAGCGCACAAGUAGAGUGAUCGAAAGAUGAAAAGCACUUUGGAAAGAGAGUUAAACAGUACGUGAAAUUGUUGAAAGGGAAGCGCUUGCAAUCAGACUUGCAGGCGGUCGAUCAUCCGAGGUUCUCCCCGGUGCACUCGAUCGUCUUCAGGCCAGCAUCGGUUUCCGUGGUGGGAUAAAGGCUGUGAGAACGUGGCUCUUCGGAGUGUUAUAGCUCACGGUGCAAUGCC